AGUGAAUUUGCUUGUGGUGGUCUCGUUGUCUAUGGAUUCGGUGACAGAGUCGGUGUCCGUGGUGUCUGGAGGAGCUGUGGCUUUUGUGCGGCGGAGGAACGGCUGCCGGGAUUUUGCGGUCUGUGGAGGAAAAUCUUGAUGCAUUGAGCAGUUAUGACGGAGAUCCAGUUUUGUGAAGACUACGGGGGUUGAAGACGCUGUUACAACUUUAGAUGAAGAUAUGACGGUCACUGGAAUGGACUAGGACGAUCAUUGCUGACAUGGAUACUCAAGUUCCAAUCGCAACAUAAUGAAUGUCUGAAGAAUUAAAGAGAAGAUAUGGGAGACAACCAGAAUAGGGUAUAAACCGCCAGAAGCAGUUUCUAAAGUUGUAUAAUAAAAUAAGUGUGUUUGUGUCUUUACUUAAAUUACCCCUAAAAAUCUACCCUAACUUUAACUAGUCACUAGUUUAUCUUAGGUAAGUAAUGUAGCUUGAUUGAAAUGCAUUCUUAAACCAUUUUCUUACUUAACUCUUUUCAUUUUAAGUUAAGUAAUAUCCUGAGGUAUCCUACAGUUCAUAACGUUACUACACAGUAUAAAAUCGAGAAAUAAAUGGACAUUCGUAGCCGUAUUUGUAAUAAUCUUUACAUAAAUCUUUGAACAGGUCGUUGACUCAUCAUCUACUUAUACCUAACACCUGAGAAUUUACUGAAUACAAUUCGUUUUCCCGUACCAUGAGGCUCGGAAGUUAGCGUAUUCGCUAUUAAGAAAGCUAAUUUCUUUGUUAUUUGCCGCAAAAGUUCACAGUUUUUACAGGAUGCCAUGUUAUUUACUAAUUUAAACUUGCACAAAAACAAAAAAGUUCAUAAAUGGUAGUCUUAAGAGGAAAGGGGACGACCGUUUCUCUAUAGCGAAGUCCCCAUUUUCCUCUAUAGAUUAUAGAAAGUAUGUUUACACAAUUGACCAAAGCUAAGCACAUUCGCUUGACUUUGCGAUUUUUUGAGUUAAGAGCGAAAAAAAAGUACCUGAUACAAAUUUUUAAAUGCUUAUAAUAAUUCAAAAAAAUCAAACGAACGGUGAUAGCUGUGUUUCAUAUACAUCAAGCUGUGUCAAAAUAUUUACAAUAAUGUUAAUAUCCAGAGAGGAAAAUGGGGACUACGUUUGUAUGAAAGGGCGGUGUCGGGCGGUCGUAGUCUACUUUAAUCUUAAUGCCUAAUGUAUGAAGUUGAGAAGACAAAGUAAGUACGGUCACAAAAUAGCACUAUAAAGGUAAGUUUAUAUUAAACUUAUCUUGCAUACCUAUCGAUGCCAAAUCAUCCUACCGAAAAUAUAAAAUAAAACAAACACCAAAAGGGCUUCACCUCAAGGUUUUUAAAUCUCAGAAGCCAAGAUGCGAAUCGUUUCUGCCGUAGCGAACGAAACGGUAAUGUCUCUCUAUCACUCUUCCAUAUUAGUGUGACAGAGAGACGGCGCAAACGAUUGGUAUCUUGGCCAGGUUCCGUCUCAACACUGGGCUGGCCCUUAAACCUUUAGGAAUGUCGCAAUGUGGUAUUGUUUGCAAGAUAAACGUCCCGGUGGGUUAUGUCAGAGGUGAAUAAUACAGGCCCAGUCCUACGAGUGGCGUUACGUACCAGCCAUGAUACGACCGAAGUAGGGUCAGACAAUUUGAUAGGUGCAAUAUGGGGAUUCUAAGAUAAGCAGAAGAGCAGUGGCAAGCACGCUUAGGGAUAGACCGCAAUUGUAACCUAUGGACUAAUACUCUGAGACGUUGCUGGCCCUUCACCAAACUUGAAGAACCCUAAUGUAGUCAGUAAAUAAGAGGAAUUAUAAAUAUAAAUACAAAAAGCCUGACUGCUUACAUAUAUUUUUGAAAUGGUACUGUCAAUAGUUUUCAUCUGAAACCCAUAUUGAUAUGGUAAGAAAAAAAUAGACCCUCCCUUUUUUCAUUUGCGGGAGCCUUUUUUUUUAAUUUAUAUAGACUAUGUCACUACCACAAUUCGAACGAACUUAACGACACCUCAGGUCAAAAACCGUCCAGCAGAUUGGGCUGUAGGGCGUACCAAAGAUAUGGACAUACAUAGACGCUCGAAAAAUAUUACCCUCCUCCUGACGUAGUCGGUUAAAACAAGCUGGUUAUCUAGGCUGUUUAUUAUGCAAUGGAAGUGUUCAUGGGAGAAAUAGCCCCGAAACCGCGUAGAUUAUUUAUUUAUUUAAUCUUUAUUGCACAAAAGAAAACCUUAUAGUACAAAAGGCGGAUUUAAUGCCAUGAGGCAUUCUCUACCAGUAAACCUUUAGGCAAAGCAGGGAGAUUAUGGUAGUUCCUCACAUUUAAGUUAGCUUGUUCCAGGGAUGAAGGCUCUGCCGAUUAUAAGCAGCCAUAAUAUAUUGAUAUGUAGGUAUUAAUUAGUAGUAGUAGUAAAACUCUUAUUGUACAAAAAAUCAUUGUCUUAUUCCUCUGUCACUCUAGUCAAAAGCUUAUAAAUGACAAAUGAUAAUGACUCGAUUAGCAUUAAGAUAUAUUAUUAACAUCUCGGAUUGUUUACGUACGGGAAUAUACGUAUGCUGUCUGUACCAUCCGCGAAACAGGUUUCACGACUAACCUUUAAUGUUUGUACCUACAGGAUGAGUAAUGGUACCUUCCCACAAAUAUGGCCGUGGAUGACAGAGGCUUUUAACUGAUUGUUUGAAGACACCUGGUACGCUUUUCGUAGGAUACCUUUUUCCAGUACUUGAGACUCAAAUAAGACAAUGGAAUAUCCACAGAAGUAAGUUAAGAGGAAAAGAGACGACCGCUUCUCCAUACAAACGUAGUCCCCAUUUUCCUCUCUGAAUAUUGAUAUUAUGGAAAAUAUUUUCACAUAAUUUGAUGUAUAUUAACAAAAGCUAUAUAAAUGAU